GGGAUCGAGAUGUGUAUAUGUGUGUAUGAAUGUCCUGUUGUGUUUAUCGUUUUUACUACCAAAUACCAGUUUACCUCACUAUUUCACUACCAUUAAAAAACAGCAUUUCAUUGAUGGAACACCAAAUGACAGGUAUCCAGAUCCAAUAUAUGCAGUUGUACCAGCUAUGACUCAGUGACCCCAGCCCGAAAACCACCCACCCACCAAAAGAGUGCAUGCAUGUACAGUUACUUAAAAUGUUUCUUGUGAAAGUACAUAUUCAUCAAAGCGACAAAUUCUUGCAGAUACUUCUGCUAUUGAGAAAGACCAGAAUAUGAAUGCUGGAUCCAGUGCCAUGACAGGACCUUUAGAACCUCCAGCUCAGCCUGAGUGUUGUCAAACUCCUUUUGUUACGCCAUUUGACAGUUCAGAUGGUAUGUUAAAACUAAAACUUUUGAAUGGUGUUGCGGAAACCAAAGCAUUGAAUGAAGAGAGGGAAAAUCUGCUUCAAAAAUAUUCUAACACUCAACAACAGUUUCUACAACUUCAAAAAUUACAGGAGGGGUGUUUUGGUUAUCACAAUUUACAAAGGAACAGUUUGAUGAAGUGUACAUAUUUUCAGUUCCAACAAAUGAAGAUCCGAUAAAGUGGAGUAAAACUGUAAAAGGUUCCAAAUCCAUAUCAACAACAGACCAACUUUUUCAACAACAGACCAACUUUUACUUGUUCUGAUUAAGCUUAGACAAAACUUUGAUUUUCAACACAAUUCUUAUCUGUUUAAUAUAUCUUCACAAGACUCUAGUGCAAUAUUUACUCAGUUGAUAAACUACAUGUUUUAUAGACUUGGUAGUUUAGAAAUUUGGCCACAUCGUGAAACUUUAAUUGAAAAUAUGCCAGAAAGUUAUAAGGAAAGAUUUUCCAAAUACCCUGGUCAUCACUGACUGUACAGAACUAAAAGUACAAAAACCAAGUUCUCUCCAUAGACAAAAUCAAUGCUACUCUGAUUACAAAUCGAAGUACAAAUGUACAACUUUGAAAGGACUUGUUGGAGUUGAUCCACGAGGUUCAGUAAUAUUUUCUUCAAUGUUAUUUACCGGUUCUAUAUCUGAUAAGGACAUCACAGAGGAAAUUGGCUUUCUUAAAUUACUGUCAGACCUUAUACAGAGUGGACAACUACGGAAUGGGGAUGGGGUAAAUGGCUGACAAAGGGUUUCAUAUAGAGAAAGAGAUUGCAGCUGUUCGGCUUAAACUGAAUAUCCCACCUUUUGCAUCCUGUGCAACACAAAUGAAAUUUUCUGAAGUUGCAGAAACAGUUAAAAUAGCAAAACACCGUGUUCAUGUAGAACGUGCUAUUGCUCGUAUAAAACAGUUUAAAAUCUUAUCAGGAAAAAUAAGUCUUUCUUUUUUUUCAAUUAUUGUCAAAUAUGGUUGACAUGUUGUUUGUUGACGAACUUCAUGAAUUUUUUGAUUCAAGAUAAAAACACUGAUGAGCCUUG
rnacentral:sRNA from 1 species